AAAGUCGUAACAAGGUUUCCGUAGGUGAACCUGCGGAAGGAUCAUUAAACAUCAUCGGGGAGUUGGAUCCAGAUUGUAGGGCUUCGGUCAUGCUUUCUGCCCUUCUCUUACUGAUUCUACCCAUGUCUUUUGCGUACUAUUCGUUUCCUUGGUGGGCUUGCCUGCCGAUAGGACAUCAUUAAACUAUUUGUAAUUGCAGUCAGCGUCAGAAAAACAUAAUAAUUACAACUUUCAACAACGGAUCUCUUGGUUCUG
rnacentral:misc_RNA from 1 species